CCCUUAGAUGUUCUGGGCCGCACGCGCGCUACACUGAUGCGUUCAACAAGUUUCCUUGGCCGAGAGGCCUGGGCAAUCUUCUUAAUAUGUAUCGUGAUAGGGAUAGAUUAUUGCCAUUAUUAAUCUUGAACGAGGAAUUCCUAGUAAACGCAGAUCAUCAAUCUGCAUUGAUUACGUCCCUGCCCUUUGUACACACCGCCCGUCGCACCUACCGAUUGGAUGUUCCGGUGAAGCCUCGGGAUGAGGACUGGUGCCUUUAUUGGCAUGAGUUGUUCAGAACUUGUCUAAACCUUAUCAUCUAGAGGAAGGUGAAGUCGUAACA
rnacentral:rRNA from 1 species